rnacentral:rRNA from 1 species
GUGCCAGCCGCCGCGGUAAUACGCAGGGUGCCAGCGUUGUUCGGAAUUACUGGGUGUAAAGGGUUCGUAGGCGGUGUGGCAAGUUGGGAGUGAAAGCCCGAGGCUCAACCUCGGAACUGCCUUCGAUACUGCGGGUCUCGAGUCCGGGAGAGGUGAGUGGAAUUCCUAGUGUAGAGGUGAAAUUCGUAGAUAUUAGGAAGAACACCAGUGGCGAAGGCGGCCACCUGGCUCGGUACUGACGCUCAGGUUCGAAAGCGUGGGGAGCAAACAGGAUUAGAUACCCUGGUAGUCCACGCCGUAAACGAUGGGCACUAUGUGUGGCGGGUGUCGACUCCCGCUGUGCCGAAGCUAACGCAUUAAGUGCCCCGCCUGGGGAGUACGGUCGCAAGACUGAAACUCAAAGGAAUUGACGG